rnacentral:rRNA from 1 species
GACGAACGCUGGCGGCGUGCCUAACACAUGCAAGUCGAACGCACAGUUCAUACCGUAGCUUGCUCCACCACAGACUGUGAGGUGCGAACCGGUGAGUUACGCGGAGGUAACCUGCCGGGUAGCGUGGGAUAACGAUUGGUAAUGAUAGCUAAUACCGCAUGAUAUUGAUUAGGGCAUGGUAAGUUUUUGAAGGUGGGAAUGGAACCACGACCAGAUGGACCUGUGUUGUAUUAGUUAGUAGGUGAGGUAACGGCUCACAUAGGCGACGAUACAUAGUCGACCUGAGAGGGUGAGCGGCCACACUGGGACUGAGACACGGCCCAGACUCCUACGGGAGGCAGCAGUAGGGAAUCUUCGGCAAUGGAAGAAAGUCUGACCGAGCAACGCCGCGUGAGGGAAGAAGGUUUUCGGAUCGUAAAGGUCUGUUGUAAGAGAAGAACGGGUGUGAGAGUGGAAAGUUCACACUGUGACGGUAUCUUACCAGAAAGGGACGGCUAACUACGUG